AAACCAUGCAUAGGACAUUUUCUAUGUAAUUCCUUAAAUCUUUCCCAGGCUUCGUAAAUCAUUUCAUCCUUUGAUCGUUGAAAAGAUGCGAUAUCAUUUCUAAGCUU